rnacentral:misc_RNA from 1 species
GAUGAAGAACGCAGCGAAAUGCGAUAAGUAAUGUGAAUUGCAGAAUUCAGUGAAUCAUCGAAUCUUUGAACGCACCUUGCACCCUUUGGCAUUCCGAAGGGUAUGCUCGUUUGAGUGUCAUUGUACUCUCACACUUCCAAUCUUUGGAUUGGGGGCGGUGGACUUGGGUGUUGCUGCUUACUGUGGCUCACCUCAAAUUGAUUCGUGCACCUCUUGGUUGGACAUAGUACGGCGUGAUAAGUGUCUUCGCCGGCACCUCAGUAGAGGGUGGCUGAUCGGGAGCUCUGUGCUUCAAACCGUCCUCGGACAACAACUGACAACUUGACCUCAAAUCGAGUAGGACUACCCGCUGAACUUAAGCAUAUCAAUAAGCGGAGGA